CCGGUUGAUCCUGCCAGAGGUCACCGCUAUUGGGAUACGCUUAAGCCAUGCGAGUCAAAGGAACGCAAGUUCCUUGGCAUACGGCUCAGUAACACGUGGACAAUCUGCCUUUAGGUGGAGGACAACUUCGGGAAACUGAAGAUAAUACUCCAUAGGUUUAGAAUGCUGGAAUGCUUCUAAACUGAAAGCUUCGGCGCCUAAAGAUGAGUCUGCGGCCUAUCAGGUUGUAGCAAGUGUAACGUACUUGCUAGCCUACAACGGGUACGGGCGUUGAGAGACGUUGCCCGGAGAUGGACUCUGAGACACGAGUCCAGGCCCUACGGGGCGCAGCAGGCGCGAAAACUUCGCAAUGUGCGCAAGCACGACGAGGGAAUCCUAAGUGCCUAUGCUUUGCAUAGGCUGUUCUCCUGUCUAAAAAACAGGGGGAGUAAGGGCUGGGUAAGACGGGUGCCAGCCGCCGCGGUAAUACCCGCAGCCCAAGUGGUGGUCGUUUUUAUUGGAUCUAAAAAGUCCGUAGCCGGUUUGGUAAAUUCUUGGGUAAAUCGAACUGCUUAACAGUUCGAACUCCGAGAACACUACUAAGCUUGAGACUGGGUGAGGUCAGAAGUACUCCUAGGGUAGGGGUGGAAUCCUGUAAUCCUUGGAGGACUACCAGUGGCGAAGGCGUCUGACUAAAACAGCUCUGGCGGUGAGGGACGAAGCCCUGGGGCGCAAACGGGAUUAGAUACCCCGGUAGUCCAGGGUGUAAACGCUGCAGACUUGGUGUUGGGGAAGCUGCGAGCUUGCCCAGUGCCGGAGAGAAGUUGUUAAGUCUGCUACCUGGGGAGUACGGUCGCAAGACUGAAACUUAAAGGAAUUGGCGGGGGAGCACCGCAACGGGUGGAGCGUGCGGUUUAAUUGGAUUCAACGCCGGA
rnacentral:rRNA from 1 species